rnacentral:lncRNA from 1 species
GCAAACCUGAAUAUGAAGAAUUUAUUUAAUCUAAUAUAAAUAGGAAAAGGUGGACAAUAUAAAUGGCCCCUAAAUCUAUGGUGGCAUCCAUUAUGCAUAAAUUACUGUGCUGAGGAAUGCUAUGAAACAGAAUGUAAAUCUCUUGGGUCAUUUCAUUUCAAAGUUAGAGAAGAACAAACAAUUCCAUAAAAACAGGAGCAUAUGGGUAUACAGUAUACAGACAUCUGGCAGGCAAGGGGCAGUAACCCAAAGGCAGCCUCCCUGGAAGCAGAAGGAGAAGAGCUCCAUUAUCUCAUUUAUCACCAACAGACUCCUCGGCCAAACAAUGUUUUCCAUGAGCGUGCAAGUAGAACCUCGCCCAAGAAAAGUCAAACUAUCCCUGCAAGGGAAGAACGCCCAACGUGGUAGUUCUCCUGAGUUCCCAGGAACAUUUUAGAAGUGGGCACUAUUAUCCAAGUUAUUUUGGAACACCGUGCGUGCACGGGAAUGCUGCCGUUAGUUUACCCUGGGAGACAUCCUAUCUUGCAAGGGGGUUCAUAGGUUGAUAUGCAUGCAAAAAAAAUCACAGUGGUGGAUAAUGUAGAUGGAGACAGUGCAAAAAGGCAGGGUUUUAAGUGUUUGGUGUACUGGAACAUAAUUCAGGAAGGCCUGGAUUCAAAUUCCAACUCUCUCACCUAUUAGCUGUGUGACCCUGGACAAUUUAACCCUCUAAGGCUCAGGCAACUCUCUGACGUUUAUAUUAAGUUGUAGACCAGGGGUAUUGAGGCAGUCCCCACACUUGGCUUAUCAUUGAUCCUUGGUGGACUGACUCUUUUUGUACUAAUGAUUCACUGCAAAUUCAUGCAUUCGUUAAUGGAGGACAGAGUGAGUUUUGUUGUUCUGUAUCACAAUCAAGGAAGCAGCUCUGGAGCUCAGUGCAUGGAGUACUGUGUCUGGAACCAGGAGCACCAGCUUUCAAAUCUGGCCUCUGGUGCUUAGUAGCUGAAUGGCCUUGGGGAAGUGAUUUAACCUUUCUUAAUCCACUGGUGUGACAAAGCACUCCAGUAUCUUUGCCAAAUCCAGGGACAGCAUCAAUGUGCUAUGAUCCAAGAUCAUGAAGAGCAGGUACAACUGAAUGACAACAACAACAAUCCAAGGCAAAUGGAUUUAACUCUAUAAAGUGCUCUCAAGUUUUU